UACGGGGGGGGCAAGCGUUGUUCGGAAUUACUGGGCGUAAAGGCUCGUAGGCGGCCAACUAAGUCAGACGUGAAAUCCCUCGGCUUAACCGGGGAACUGCGUCUGAUACUGGAUGGCUAGAGUUUGGGAGAGGGAUGCGGAAUUCCAGGUGUAGCGGUGAAAUGCGUAGAUAUCUGGAGGAACACCGGUGGCGAAGGCGGGUCUCUGGGCAGUAACUGACGCUGAGGAGCGAAAGCGUGGGGAGCGAACAGG
rnacentral:rRNA from 1 species